GACGAACGCUGGCGGCGUGCUUAACACAUGCAAGUCGAACGGAAAGGCCCUGCUUGCAGGGUACUCGCGUGGCGAACGGGUGAGUAACACGUGGGUGAUCUGCCCUGUACUUCGGGAUAAGCCUGGGAAACUGGGUCUAAUAUCGGAUAGGAGCCAUCCUUAGUGUGGUGGUUGGAAAGUUUUUUCGGUGUAGGAUGAGCUCGCGGCCUAUCAGCUUGCUGGUGGGGUAAUGGCCUACCAAGGCGGCGACGGGUAGCCGGCCUGAGAGGGUGUACGGCCACAUUGGGAGAGAGAGACGGCCCAGACUCCUACAGGGGGCGGCGGUGGGGAAUAUUGCGCAAUGGGCGCGAGCCUGAUGCAGCGACGCCGCGUGGGGGAGAAAGGCCUUCGGGUUGUAAACUCCUUUCGCUAGGGACGAGGCUUUUUUGUGACGGUACCUAGAAAAGAAGCACCGGCUAACUACGUG
rnacentral:rRNA from 1 species